CUUUAAAAAAUAAUGUUGCAUAUGUCUUACAUAUCUGUUGUUUAAACUUAUCUGGGUUUUCUAUAGUAGCCUGCAUACUAUAUUUGUAAAUUUACACUGAGAAUUGUAUGUCAAGUAAUACCAGCGUACAUUAUGUUUGCAUGGGUCAGUUAGACUUCGUUGCAUUGUACAUUAUUAUACCCCCAGCAUCAUGAAUUGUACAUUACCCUCAACAUGACGAUAAAUAUACAAGUGCUAACUAAAAUAAACAAAAACAAAUCUUAAGAUUACAAGUGCGUUGCACGUGCGCAUUUACUAGUCGAAAAAGAAAGAAACUAGUGUUGUCGGUCGUGCCUGAUGUCGCUCCUUUUAACCCCGUCUCCACCGCUUCCGGCCUCUCUCUCCCUCCUCUCUCCGGUGGCUCCAGUCAUCGGAGAGGAGGGAGAGAGGGGGGCGGCCCUAGUAGUCUGUGUACUAGGUUGCUCUUUUGCUUUAAAUAAACCAGAUCAUAGCUCUUUCUUCCACUUCCUUGUGAGCUUGAUGGCGGCCGUGGUGGUCGAAGCAAAGUUUGGGAAGUAGGCAGAAGGGUGAGAUCUGAGGCCUUGCUUCUGGGCGCUUUGUGCGGUCCCGGAUCUGGAGAAUCAGCCGCAUCUUGGCCUAUCCUUCAAGCUGCCAUCGUGGAGAGGGAGGCAGAGGAUGACUAGGUCUCAGCAAUAGAUGGGUGGUCUUUGCCACCCCGGUGACCUUUCUGACCGAAGGGCGGCCAUGUGUGGCGACGGCAUCGUCCGUUCACUCUUUCUCUACCUCCUGGCUUGAGGCCAAUAUGUAGGCACUUUGUAUUCUGCGUCGUGUUCACCUUUUCUUCCUCCGGCGAGCUGAGUCGAAGACGAGGAGGUGGAGGCCCUGCGGUCCCAAGUGGCUCGUCCCCGGCGACGGCCGGGUUGAAUAGGCGACGGAAUACUGUGAUGGACCCGAUUGUAAUCUUAGUUCUCGGGCCAGGCUUCUCCUUGCUUAUGUCAGGGACUGCCUUGUCAUUUCUUUUUCUUUGAGGUCCUUUUCUGAAUCAUGCACUUUCUCUAUUGAGUAAAA